rnacentral:lncRNA from 1 species
GGAGUGUCACCGUCACCCAUUCACCCAGGCCCUUCCAUUGGGAUUGUAGACCUCUUCCUGGAAUCUCUGAGCCAGAAGUGAUCAACCUUACACACUCAGCCAGGACUACCAUGCUGUCACUUUGUUAAAAAAAAUAUUGUUAAAAAAUACACCUCUGUGCUUGUGCAACAAAUACAGCAGGGUGCUGUAAUACCAGGAAACAAAAACCCACCUGUAACACAACAGACGAAAUAUCCAGACUGCUGUUCCAGCAUCUGGAUCUGCCUUAUGAAUUUUCUGUUCAUAAGUCCUUCCAUGUAUAGUUUAAACUUUUCCCUUGACAGACUUGCUGCUUCUAUAAGAACUGGCUCAAUUUCCCUUGGUUGCUGAAGCAGGAAUUCCAGACUCGUUUGUUUCUCCUGUAGAGGAAAACCAACUGUUGAUGCACAUUUCAGGUUGGCGUGUGAGACAGUGUGUGAUGUCCUGCCCAGGAGGGAUAAAUAUGGGAGAAGAAGCAGAGCGAAGCAGCCAACAAGAGGAUGCAAGUAUCCUGGCAGGACCAGUAUGUGCAGAAGUUACUUAAAAGCCAGCCAGUGAGUGACAUUCAUCACAUCAGCAAGCCAUGCCUUUCCAGCCUCUUUCCCCUCUCUUCAUUCAGCUCUACAGUGUUAUUUAUUCAAUUAGCACUUUGCUGUUCCUGUGAUCUCACCUGGAAUUACAGCCUCUGACCUAUGGGUUUCAUUUUGUGCUCCAAUGACUUGACUUAAACCAAGGGUGGCAUUCUAGAAAAGGGCAGUGGCGAAUUUUCC